CAUGAGCUUACUACAAUGAAAAGUGGGCUAAGAAAGUCACCUCCAAUAUUCUACUUAUUCUAAAACUAAAAGUAUAACUUACUUGUUAUAAAAUCAAUAUAUU